GCUCUUUCAUAUUCCUCUUCAUAGCCUCUCUCUUCUACAGCAUGAUAAUCAGCCUAGUCAAGAUAAGGAGUCAAUAAGGGAUGGAACGGAUGCACAACACAGACAAGCAAAUUUGUGAUUUUUGGUAUUUCAUUUUAAUCUAGUUUUAAAAACAUGAACAUAAUCCACAAACUACUGUAUAUUGUAAUUUCAAAAAUGUGAUAUAUGAUGUUUAAAAAUUCUAUUAAAGUGUAUUUUCUGUAACCUAAA